CAGUAGCCGCGGUAAUACGAAGGGGGCUAGCGUUGUUCGGAUUUACUGGGCGUAAAGCGCACGUAGGCGGAUCGUUAAGUCGGGGGUGAAAUCCUGGAGCUCAACUCCAGAACUGCCUUCGAUACUGGCGAUCUUGAGUCCGGAAGAGGUGAGUGGAACUCCUAGUGUAGAGGUGGAAUUCGUAGAUAUUAGGAAGAACACCAGUGGCGAAGGCGGCUCACUGGUCCGAUACUGACGCUGAGGUGCGAAAGCGUGGGGAGCAAACAGGAUUAGAUACCCCAGUAGUCCCUGUCUCUUAUAC
rnacentral:rRNA from 1 species